rnacentral:rRNA from 1 species
AUGGUCGCUGAGAAGACCACUGCCUCAUCCUCGGCUGCCGACUCCUCCUGGUACGAGCCGGCACUACUUGUGCCCUCCGUGGCCGGGGAGAAGCUCCAGACCGCGCUCCUCCUGGCGGCGAUCCAGGAUAACAAAUGGAAGGGGAUGGUGCUCUGGGUUGCCACCGAUGCGCCGGAGCCAGCGAACAUCACUUUCCUCCCUUUCUUCCUUCACAGCGUGUACUCGGGGCUGGUGCCCCCAUUCUCCCGCUUCUUCUACGUCGUUCCUCACCAUUAUGGCCUCCACGCGCUCCACAUUCAUCCCAACUCCAUCCUCCUCCUGUCCAUUUUCGCCUUCUACUGCGAGGCGUUCAUGGGGGUGAUGCCGUUCGUCGCCAUGCUCCGCCACUUCUUCUUCCUCCGCAUGAUUGGCGACCAUCCCGUUGGGUGCAUCAGCUUCGUCGCAGCAUGGGGCGGCAACGUGAUCUCCUGUGCCGGGAAGAAGGUGGAGGAUGCCCUGAAGAGGUGGGUUCUGAUGGAUGCCAAGUGCUCCCAGGACUUGCUGGAGCUGCCGACCGAGCUCCCCUCCUCCGGGAAGGGGUGGUACUCUGAGAAUAUCACUAACCCUUCCCUGAAGCCCUUGGUGAAGAAGAUGGAGGAGGACCUAAAGAGCGAGAAGCUGAUGGGGGCCAUGUUCAUCAAGGAGUUCUUGACGCAGCGCAUAGCGCCGCUCCAAGGUCGCUCCCGUCCCCUAUGGAAUCUUGGGGGCGGCAACGACAAGAUUCGCCUACGCCGGGACGCCCUUCUGGAGGAGGAGCUGAGCAAGGUGUUGCUUUACUUGACUGGGAAGGACCCGAGCAAUCCUCCGGAGGACUGGCUCCCCUUGUAUUGCCGAGUCAACGGGGAGGAGCUUGCUUCUGCCAUGCCGGUCUUUGAUGAGUUUGGGCUCGUGCGGGCGGGGCCUCCCCCGCCGCCUACGUCCUUGGUAGACCUGUCCUCCGGUGAUCAAUCCUCCGAGGCCAUCGAGGAUGAGGUUGUGGAGGAAUCCUCUGCCCCACGGCAGAGGGAGCUCCUCCGCGACUUCCCUGAUGAUGAUGAUGAUGAUGAUGUGCCUCUGGUAGUGGAGGUGCCUCGCCCUUCUGGAGUCACCACGAGAUCCGGGGUGUCCUCCUCAAAGCAGCCCAAGCGGACGGCCACGAAGAAGGGUGGGACCGUGCUGAUUCCUCCGGGCAGCAUUCCGCCUUCGCCGACGGUGUCCCGAGUGACGCCAACCGCGAGUUCUCCUGCUCCCAGGACUUCAGCUCCGGUUGCCUCAUCUCGACGCCCGCUGCUGGGCUUGAAGAGGAACUAUGUCGUCACCGACCAGUAA